rnacentral:tRNA from 1 species
GAGGGUAUAGCUCAAAUGGUAGAGCACAUGCUUAGCAUGCAUGAGGUUCUGGGUUCAAUCCCCACUAUCUCCU